rnacentral:rRNA from 1 species
AUUGAACGCUGGCGGCAGGCUUAACACAUGCAAGUCGAGCGGGGUGAUGGUGCUUGCACUAUCACUUAGCGGCGGACGGGUGAGUAAUGCUUAGGAAUCUGCCUAUUAGUGGGGGACAACAUCUCGAAAGGGAUGCUAAUACCGCACACGUCCUACGGGAGAAAGCAGGGGAUCACUUGUGACCUUCAGCUAAUAGAUGAGCCUAAGUCGGAUUAGCUAGUUGGUGGGGUAAAGGCCUACCAAGGCGACGAUCUGUAGCGGGUCUGAGAGGAUGAUCCGACACACUGGGACUGAGACACGGCCCAGACUCCUACGGGAGGCAGCAGUGGGGAAUAUUGGACAAUGGGGGGAACCCUGAUCCAGCCAUGCCGCGUGUGUGAAGAAGGCCUUAUGGUUGUAAAGCACUUUAAGCGAGGAGGAGGCUCUUUUGGUUAAUACCCAAGAUGAGUGGACGUUACUCGCAGAAUAAGCACCGGCUAACUCUGUGCCAGCCGCCGCAGUAA